rnacentral:lncRNA from 1 species
CUUUCCAGCUUCCAUUUCCAUGUCUACGAAAUGACCGCAUGUACAGUACUGACCGUGCAGGUGGCAGUGAAGAUUAGAUCCCCAUUAUCAGUGCAAAGCUGCCAACAGAGGGCCUGGGACAUAUCUUACAUUCUAAAUGCUCUGGCAUUAUCAAAUUAGUCGCAUUUGGAAGAUGCCAUCCACCAGAACUAAUCAGACUCAACCAUCUUUAUUCCUUGAUAGCGCCCUGGCUUCUCUCCCACUAAUGUAACAGCUGCACUUUUUUUAAAAGCAGGCUGAGAACACGCCUGCUGUGGAUUCGGUACCGGGUGCCUGCAAUCAUGGCUGUUUACUGAAUAUUAAUAUUCUGUGUGUGCGUGUGGUUUGGCUUUCGAAUUAAUGUUGACACUCAUUCGUUGCAGGGAAACAUGUCUGCCGAGGGGACAGGCAUUCUUCCUUAUGUCAAAGUCCCCAGUUGUCGGCUGCCCGGUCUUUGAACGUUAACACUCACAAAAUCUCCUAUGUAUGCUCUAAAAGAGAAUGGUCUAUAGCUCAAAUCUCUGAUAGCCC